UAUUAUUAUUAUUAUUAUUUUGUGUACCAUACCACGCCUCAUUUUCCUUUAAACAAAACUCCUUCACAUCAUCAUCCUCGUCAUCGCCACCGUCUGAACAUUUCUCCCACUUGUCUUCGUUACCGUGUACUUUCCGGCAGGACAACCAAUCUGCUUCUGUUCAGCUGGAUUCUAAUUUAAUUAGUUACCGGGCAAGUAAAUAUUCUGUUUUCUUAUUUAAUUUUAUUCUUGUUCGUUGUUAAUUUAGCUGGCUGGAGUUGACUGCUUGAGUUUGGGCGUAAUGCUUUUGGGGUUUGUACACUGGAUUUUGGAGGAAGUAUAUAGGUGAUUUAAGGAAUACUGGCAUGUGGGUUGCUCUUAA
rnacentral:misc_RNA from 1 species